GACGGAGGGCGCAAGCGUUGUUCGGAAUUACUGGGCGUAAAGCGCACGCAGGUGGUCCCUUAAGUCCACUGUUAAAUCACGGGGCUCAACCCCGGAGGUGCAGCGGAUACUGAGGGACUGGAGACCGGUAGAGGCUAGCGGAAUUCCUGGUGUAGCGGUGGAAUGCGUAGAUAUCAGGAGGAACACCGGUGGCGAAGGCGGCUAGCUGGGCCGGUUCUGACGCUCAUGUGCGAAAGCGUGGGGAGCAAACAGG
rnacentral:rRNA from 1 species